rnacentral:rRNA from 1 species
AUUGAACGCUGGCGGCAAGCCUAACACAUGCAAGUCGAACGAGUGGCGGACGGGUGAGUAAUGUCUGGGAAACUGCCUGAUGGAGGGGGAUAACUACUGGAAACGGUAGCUAAUACCGCAUACCAUCGGAUGUGCCCAGAUGGGAUUAGCUAGUAGGUGGGGUAAAGGCUCACCUAGGCGACGAUCCCUAGCUGGUCUGAGAGGAUGACCAGCCACACUGGAACUGAUACACGGUCCAGACGCCUACGGCAGGCAGUAGUGGGGAAUAUUGCACAAUGGGCGCAAAUCUGUAGCAGCCACGCCGCGUGUGUGAAGGGCGCCGUCGGGUUGUAAAGUACUUUCAGCGGGGAGGGGUUACCCGCAGAAGAAGCACCGGCUAAAUCCGUGCCAGCAGCCGCGGUAAUUC